GAUGAGGUGGCCGAGUGGUUAAGGCGAUGGACUGCUAAUCCAUUGUGCUCUGCAUGCAUGGAUUCGAAUCCCAUCCUCAUCG
rfam:Salmo salar isolate Sally breed double haploid chromosome ssa04, whole genome shotgun sequence.